rnacentral:rRNA from 1 species
UCCGUAGGUGGUUUGUCAAGUCUGUCGUCAAAGAAUGGAGCUUAACUCCAUAAAGGCGGUGGAAACUGAGAGACUAGAGUCCGGUAGGGGUAGCGGGAAUUCCCAGUGUAGCGGUGAAAUGCGUAGAUAUUGGGAAGAACAUCGGUGGCGAAAGCGCGCUACUGGGCCGAAACUGACACUGAGGGACGAAAGCUAGGGUAGCGAAAG